GUGGGGAAUCUUGCGCAAUGGGCGAAAGCCUGACGCAGCCAUGCCGCGUGAAUGAUGAAGGUCUUAGGAUUGUAAAAUUCUUUCACCGGGGACGAUAAUGACGGUACCCGGAGAAGAAGCUCCGGCUAACUUCGUGCCAGCAGCCGCGGUAAUACGAAGGGGGCUAGCGUUGCUCGGAAUUACUGGGCGUAAAGGGCGCGUAGGCGGACAGCUUAGUCAGAGGUGAAAGCCCAGGGCUCAACCUUGGAAUUGCCUUUGAUACUGGCUGUCUUGAGUUUGGGAGAAGUGAGUGGAACUCCGAGUGUAGAGGUGAAAUUCGUAGAUAUUCGGAAGAACACCAGUGGCGAAGGCGACUCACUGGCCCAAUACUGACGCUGAGGCGCGAAAGCGUGGGGAGCAAACAGGAUUAGAUACCCGGGUAGUCC
rnacentral:rRNA from 1 species